rnacentral:lncRNA from 1 species
GUUAAUUAAUAUUGCAUUAGUUAUAUAACUUUGCUAUACAGUAAUUGUUCUACCAAAGACGAAUCAUUUGUUUUAGAUUUUUCGAGUUAGCAUUGUCGUAGAGAGAAGAAAAAAAAAAAAAAAAAAGUGUAUUCGUAAAAAUUUUGGUCACGAGUCCCCGUUUGCCACGUAUUCAGAUGUGUUAGAAUAUUUUGAAAUGCGACACUAACUUCCGAAAUUCCGAAACACAUAAUUUUGUUUUGAAGCAACAAUGGCGCACAUGUUAACAAUCGGUACAAAAACCAAUGCGAUCGAUUCCGAUUAGUCACAGUUGUCACGUGUUCCUACUGUUCAAAGUACGAAUUGCAGUUUCAGUUGUGUGUGUGUGUGUAUGUGCGCGCAAAAUUAAAGUUCUUAAAUCCCCUAACAAAAUGGAAAGAAUCGAAUGGAAAUUAAUAACCAGUGGUUAUAUUUCCGAGAAAUGAAUAGGUCAAUAGUUUAAAAUUGUUCUCGGAAUUUAAAUGAUUUUAUGGCAAUUCUUUGUCCACGUUUCCCGGAAUUGUUUACUGUUUAGUCACAAAACAAAACAAGAUUACACACACACGCUGAAUAUUGUGACUUUUCAAAAUGUAUUUUUCAACUUGGUUCCUACUACAAAUCGCCCGGGGAUAAAGUUCCUCCUUCAAUGCUCAGAGGGAAUGAACUUGUUCUAUAGGUCUAGUCGAUUAUGUGAUUAGGUAUACGAGAACUUAAAAAAAAAAAUGGAAUUGUUUUAGGUUACAGUGAAAUGGGUAGAUCGAGAUCGUUUCUGAUAUUAGAAAAACAAUCGUCGGUGUGAUAGGCGAAAUAUUGUUUAGCGGUUUCCGUUUGUCAUCCUCAUCCGCCGUUUCAGUGCGAACUUCCCCACCUAUACCGUCGAGUGGUACGGUCUAUCCUCGUGGCACAUCUCACUUCUUAGUCAGAGGAAGGGACAAGGGUUGAACGAGUUUUAUCUACUUUAGGGAAACGUUCGGAUCGAAAGAGGAUAUCGUUUCAAGGUGAAAAUAUGACUAAGCGUGGUGCUGAUGAAUUAUUAUCACCUUCUGGAAAUGUCAGUAAUGGAUCUGUUA